CCUACGGGACGCAGCAGUGGGGAAUAUUGCACAAUGGGCGCAAGCCUGAUGCAGCCAUGCCGCGUGUAUGAAGAAGGCCUUCGGGUUGUAAAGCACUUUCAGCGGGGAGGAAGGCGGUGAGGUUAAUAGCCUCACCGAUUGACGUUACCCGCAGAAGAAGCACCGGCUAACUCCGUGCCAGCAGCCGCGGUAAUACGGAGGGUGCAAGCGUUAAUCGGAAUUACUGGGCGUAAAGCGCACGCAGGCGGUCUGUCAAGUCGGAUGUGAAAUCCCCGGGCUCAACCUGGGAACUGCAUUCAAAACUGGCAGGCUAGAGUCUUGUAGAGGGGGGUAGAAUUCCAGGUGUAGCGGUGAAAUGCGUAGAGAUGUGGAGGAAUACCGGUGGCGAAGGCAGCCCCCUGGACAAAGACUGACGCUCAGGUGCGAAAGCGUGGGGAGCAAACAGGAUUAGAUACCCGUGUAGUC
rnacentral:rRNA from 1 species